rnacentral:rRNA from 1 species
GUUUGAUCAUGCUCAGACGAACGCUGGCGGCAGGCUUAACACAUGCAAGUCGAACGCAUCCUUCGGGGUGAGUGGCAGACGGGUGAGUAACGCGUGGGAACCUACCUAUCGGUUCGGAAUAAUUCGGGGAAACUCGGACUAAUACCGGAUAAGCCCUUCGGGGGAAAGAUUUAUCGCCGAUUGAUGGGCCCGCGUUGGAUUAGCUAGUUGGUGUGGUAAUGGCGCACCAAGGCGACGAUCCAUAGCUGGUCUAAGAGGAUGAUCAGCCACACUGGGACUGAGACACGGCCCAGACUCUACGGGAGGCAGCAGUGGGGAAUAUUGGACAAUGGGCGAAAGCCUGAUCCAGCCAUGCCGCGUGAGUGAUGACGGCCUUAGGGUUGUAAAGCUCUUUCGCUAGGGAUGAUAAUGACAGUACCUAGUAAAGAAGCCCCGGCUAACUUCGUGCCAGCAGCCGCGGUAAUACGAAGGGGGCUAGCGUUGUUCGGAAUUACUGGGCGUAAAGCGCGCGUAGGCGGAUCAUUAAGUCAGGGGUGAAAUCCCGGGGCUCAACCUCGGAAUUGCCUCUGAUACUGGUGGUCUUGAGUCCGUGAGAGGUGAGUGGAACUCCGAGUGUAGAGGUGAAAUUCGUAGAUAUUCGGAAGAACACCAGUGGCGAAGGCGGCU